CAGAAUUAUGAGAAUAAUCUUCAUGAAAUUUUUUUUUCUGAAUUAACAAGAUCCCUCAAAAUCCUGCCAGAAGCUUUCACCUGCACGAAGUAACGUCAGGCCACAGUUGCUGUUGCAAAUCAGCCUGACCCUCCGAUAACAACAACAGUGCCAGGCCUACAUGUACAUGGGUUCAGUGCAGGGCCAGCUAUGGCUACAUCUUCAAAACCCCCCCUCCCACAAGAUGAUGGUCUGUGGAUGUUUCUUCAGAGCCGAGGGAUUCCUGAGUAAAAUAUACAGAAAAUGCAGCAAGAUCAUAUUGACAGCUCGGUAGUUGGAGAAAUAGAUGAUGCCACUAUGACUGCUUACAUUCCAGCAUAUGGUGAUAGGAUUGCUACAAGGCGUUUCUGUAUGGAAAAACAGAGAAAAGGUGGUGAUGAUCUAAAAAGACUGUCCUUAUUUGAAAAACUUAGAAGAAAGAUGGGCACAUUGACAAGCAAUAAAGACACAGAUAAAGAUUUUGAGGAGGAGCAUUCCAUGCAGCCAACAAAGAUACA